CCCCCCCUCCUCCCAGCAGAAAAGGGGAACAAAGAUUAACUGAAGCGGGGGCGCGGGGCAGCGUCGGAACCUCGCAUGGAAACGGGGGGCCCGGCCCAGCCGGCACAAAGGGCCCGGGGCCUCCGCGCCCCUCCCCGGCCGGAGGGCGAAGGCUGGGUGUGUGCUUUACUUAUAUAUUUUUAAAGUAGGCAGCGGGCUUGGAACAAACAUCCCCGCUGAGCACUGAACUGGAAAAGGGCUUUGAACAGCUGUUUGCAGAGCCCUGGACGGCCAGGCUCGAGGGAGCGGCGCGGGCUGCGAGCGCCGGGCCCCGGGCGGGGAAGGGGCUCCGGGGAGCCGCCCCUCCGGGGCCUCCAAUCCCGGGUCUGGGCCCCCAGUCCCCAAGGCGCGCUGAUGGGGGGCGCGGAGGCGGGCCGUCCGCCCGGCAGGGGCAGGCCCCUUGCGCCUCCCUGAAGGGCCGCGGGGUUCCGCGCAGCCUGGUCUCCCCCCAGCUCCCCGGCGGGCCGGACCCUCGGCCUCCAACCUCCAAGCCCGCAACUCCGGCUUGGACCCCGACGCAGGGCGCGUCCGGAGUCCUCGGGCAGCGCUGGGCAGAGGCGCCAAGAAGGUAAGUAUUAAGCACCUGCUGGAUGCCUGGGCCCUUGGACUGGUCCUGCUGCCAGGGGCUGGGGAGAAACGUGAGGUCUUCUGGGCCCCGAGAGUUUCCGCAGGAAGCAGUGCCAGAACCAGCCGCAGCGCAGGACCAGGUCAUCUAGAGGAAGGAAAGCCUGGAUCCUCUCCUCUCCCUCCCCUCUCUUCCUUCCCCCUUCCCUUCCUUCCUCCGGGCUGCAUCUCCUCGGCUCCACCCCUUCUCAUCAAUUCCUCCCACACUUCCCCGCUCUCCCUGGCUCUUCACUGAGGGUCCCUUCUCCCAGCGAGGAGCAGAUGCUGAGCCCCAUUGUCUCUCCCCCCAGUGGCUGCAGUCUCCCGGGGACAGGACCUGCCACUCGUCACCCCUCCCCCCCAGCCCGGAGGUCUGGGCCUUUAGAGACUGGAGCCCCAGGGCCACUGCCCCUCGCCCCACCCCAGAGUAGCUCCUGGUGUUGGGAGCAGUGACUCCAGUCACUCAGAACACGAUUUGUUUCUGACUGCGAGAGAGAAAAACGGUAGCCUGAGACUUGGCUUUGGGAAGGAGAACACCAUGGUUUUCACAUCAGCGCACAGAGCCCCGGAUGACCCGAGGGCAUUUGCCUCUGUACCCUCUUAUUAGGAUAUACCGAAAGCUGCUUUUCCCUCAGUUUUAUAUCCUCCCACGUAGAGCAUCUAGGCUGUUUCCUUCAAACAAAGCAAGACUCAGCUCUGAUAAUCAAGCAUUCAUUUAACAAAUGUUUACUGAGUACCCCCUGUGCCUGCUACUGCGCUGGGUGCUAAGGCCCUAACCGUCAGCACACAUGGUCCUCUCUUCGGCUUUGCAAACUGGCAGGGGAGGAUGACCAAGUGCCCUGUGAUGCAUGCAAGGAUGAACCAAGGAAGCGCUAAGAGGGUACUUGCACUGGGGUGGUCAGGGAUGGCUUCCUUGAGGGGGUUACAUCCAAAUGAGUAGGUUCUUGCCAGGCAAAUGCAUGGGAAGGUACAGCCUGUCCAAAGGCCCCAGGGCAAGACAGCACAUUCUUACAGAUUCUGGGAACUGCUGCAACUAUUUGCUGCAGUGAAGAGUACAAAUGGAGGAGUGGGGAGACAGGACAGUGUCAGGGCCCAAGUGGAGUAGGGGGUGGAUAUCAGGGAGAUGUUCAAAUUUUAGCCUCUCCCAGUUGCUAACUUCAUGAACUUGGGUGAAUAACAACCUCAGGGAAUAACUUAGAUUCCACUUCCUCACUUACGAAAUGCGGGUAAGAACUCCCAUGGGCUGCAGAGACAGUGUCUUAGGUUUGAGGGCCCAGGCUUAUUGCUGUGUAUCCCUGGGCAAGCUGACUUCUCUGUUUGCUCAUCUGUAAAAUGGGGAUGAAAAAGCCUGCUUCACAGGGUUGUUGUAAGGCUUAAAUGAGUCCAUACCUCGCACUGUAUCUGGUACAUAAGCAGCAAUACAUGGUAGCUUGUAUUCAUUAUUAUUAUAAAUCAGGGAGUGACAGGGAGGUGCCCUUACAACCUGGAAAUGAGAUUAUGUUCUGGAAUUGAAACUGGGAUGACUCAUCAUGUCAGAAAUGUGAUGAGCUGGCUGUGGAGGAAGCAUUCUUUCAAAGAUGCCCUAUGUCCCAUUAGGUGGCUAGGAUUAGGGAACACCUACGUCUGAUUGGCAUGGCCAGGGUGUCCUCUCACAAACAUGACCAGAAUGUGAAGACUUUAGUUAGGAAGGCUUAGCCUGAUCAGAGUAAUUCUCGUUGGCCUGAAGGACAAAUAGGGAACAGAAGACAGUGGCUUCGUAAAAUCUAAGAGACCCUCUAGGAGCAGAUACCUGGCUGUGUUUGCUCUGGAGAGAAGUAGACACAGAAGUUCACACUGUGGCAGAGGCAGGGGAGAAAGAGAUUGUCUCCCCCAGAGCCCAUAUUAAAUGUCUGAAAACCUAUUAGUCCUUUUCUUGGGUUUUCCAAGCAACUUGCAGAUGAACUUGGCACUGGCAAAAUGCCCCCUGAAUCCAGACAGAUGCCAGCAUUCGAGUUGCUGCGUUGUAAACAUUCUACUCUUCUUUUAUUUCCAUAUGACACUAGUUGGUUUGUGAAAGAUUUGGAAAAUCAGCUAAGCAAGGCCAAAAGACCCCCUGUAGAGACAUUAUGUUUUGGUGUAUAUCCUUGGACAUUUUCUAUCCACAUAUCUACCUGUAAAUGCACAUAAUAAUAAAACUAUACAAAGUAAAUACUGUUAAACAAA